rnacentral:tRNA from 1 species
CUGUAGCUCAGUUGGAUAGAGCAACGCCCUUCUAAGGCGUGGGCCAGGGGUUCGAAUCCCUUCAGU